CCUGGCUCACGUUGAACGCUAGCUACAGGCUUAACACAUGCAAGUCGAGGGGCAGCAUGGUCUUAGCUUGCUAAGGCCGAUGGCGACCGGCGCACGGGUGAGUAACACGUAUCCAACCUGCCGUCUACUCUUGGACAGCCUUCUGAAAGGAAGAUUAAUACAAGAUGGCAUCAUGAGUCCGCAUGUUCACAUGAUUAAAGGUAUUCCGGUAGACGAUGGGGAUGCGUUCCAUUAGAUAGUAGGCGGGGUAACGGCCCACCUAGUCUUCGAUGGAUAGGGGUUCUGAGAGGAAGGUCCCCCACAUUGGAACUGAGACACGGUCCAAACUCCUACGGGAGGCAGCAGUGAGGAAUAUUGGUCAAUGGGCGAGAGCCUGAACCAGCCAAGUAGCGUGAAGGAUGACUGCCCUAUGGGUUGUAAACUUCUUUUAUAAAGGAAUAAAGUCGGGUAUGGAUACCCGUUUGCAUGUACUUUAUGAAUAAGGAUCGGCUAACUCCGUGCCAGCAGCCGCGGUAAUACGGAGGAUCCGAGCGUUAUCCGGAUUUAUUGGGGUUUAAAGGGAGCGUAGAUGGAUGUUUAAGUCAGUUGUGAAAGUUUGCGGCUCAACCGUAAAAUUGCAGUUGAUACUGGAUAUCUUGAGUGCAGUUGAGGCAGGCGGAAUUCGUGGUGUAGCGGUGAAAUGCUUAGAUAUCACGAAGAACUCCGAUUGCGAAGGCAGCCUGCUAAGCUGCAACUGACAUUGAGGCUCGAAAGUGUGGGUAUCAAACAGGAUUAGAUACCCUGGUAGUCCACACGGUAAACGAUGAAUACUCGCUGUUUGCGAUAUACUGCAAGCGGCCAAGCGAAAGCGUUAAGUAUUCCACCUGGGGAGUACGCCGGCAACGGUGAAACUCAAAGGAAUUGACGGGGGCCCGCACAAGCGGAGGAACAUGUGGUUUAAUUCGAUGAUACGCGAGGAACCUUACCCGGGCUUAAAUUGCAGAUGAAUUACGGUGAAAGCCGUAAGCCGCAAGGCAUCUGUGAAGGUGCUGCAUGGUUGUCGUCAGCUCGUGCCGUGAGGUGUCGGCUUAAGUGCCAUAACGAGCGCAACCCUUGUUGUCAGUUACUAACAGGUUCCGCUGAGGACUCUGACAAGACUGCCAUCGUAAGAUGUGAGGAAGGUGGGGAUGACGUCAAAUCAGCACGGCCCUUACGUCCGGGGCUACACACGUGUUACAAUGGGGGGUACAGAGGGCCGCUACCACGCGAGUGGAUGCCAAUCCCCAAAACCUCUCUCAGUUCGGACUGGAGUCUGCAACCCGACUCCACGAAGCUGGAUUCGCUAGUAAUCGCGCAUCAGCCACGGCGCGGUGAAUACGUUCCCGGGCCUUGUACACACCGCC
rnacentral:rRNA from 1 species